AUAAUGGUAGCUUUAUUUGGUGGGAUGAAUCAUCAUGAACUAGCAUUCAUGUUUCUUCAUUAUCUCUCUCAUUUCUAAACGAAAUUUCGAGAUUCCAAAUCCUCUGAACUCCUAGAACAUUUCUAAGUGUGGACUAAUUAGAGGCAUCACAAUUGGGGUGCUUUAAGGAUCUCAGAUCGUGGCAAAACAGAAGCUGUUCGUGCAGAGCUCUAUUUUCUGGACAGUGUUCGUAGCUUGCUGUUUUCAGUCGUUUUCUCCUACCUCACGAAGUCGUUUUCGAAACUGCAAGUGAGGUAAUUAAACUUCAAUCUUUCUUCUUGAUUUUCGUUUUUGAAUGAAGCCGAUCCGAGGUUUCUAGAGCUUCCGCCGUCCGUUUUAAUUUUACUGCACAAAAGUUGCGAUUUUAGGAACCUCAUGGACAAAUGUUGUCCUUCAUCUCAUUCACCCACAAACACUCACACUCCGAAAAAAUAGGUUUUUUUCAAACUUAAACCUUGAUUUACAGAGGGCUGGCCAGCUCUCUUUACCACAAAAAGCUUGAGUUUGUUAACUUGAGCGUCAGAGUGUGAACACCAGGGUACCCUGGCUUCACCUCUAAACUUUAUUUUACUAUUUUGCAGGCGUGAAGCUCAUUUUGAAGGACAUCUCUCUUGGUUCUGACCUUUCACCAUUGUUACCAUUCCCUCUCCCCUUUUCGCCUUCCCCGAACUUCAGAUACACCGCACCGCACACAACAAACCAGUGAGGUAUCUCGUCUCCCCCAAAAAUAAAAAUUCAUUGUUUUAGAUAGGUUUACCUUCUUCUACCCCCAAAAUCUAACGAAAACAAGAUGAAUAAGAAAGGAGUGUAUUAUGAAAUUUCUAAAAUGUAUUAUAUGUGAAUGGUCAUUACAAGAAAAAUGAUAUUUACCACGAAAUUCAGUUAAACUGAAUAUACCGAGUUUUAUUUUUUCUAGGCGAUGACACAUCUACUAAUGUAAGCAAUGGGUCAUCGCCGAAAGAGAGCUGGUGGGCCAUCGGCCCUUCAAUUUUGGUUGGAUUUUAAUGGAAAAUAUUAAUUCCGGUAGUUUUAAGAGAUAGAAUUUCAAGCGAAAUAUCGAUGUUGUUAUUGCAACAAACUCUAGCGCAAAAUAAAUUAUCUGUCUAAGGAUCGUGCUAAUAUAAAUUGAAGACAUGAAAAUACACCGAAAACAUGCCAUGUAAUGUCAAGACUAUGAACAUUCAACAAGCUACAUAUCCUCCUAUUCUCAGACUGGAAUAAGACUUUCUUUUGAAAAAUGAACUGAAAACCAUAAACCAGUAAUUCCAAGAUUCCUUACUUGUUCGUAUUUGG
rnacentral:lncRNA from 1 species